GGGCUCCGUUCGGCGCUGAAUAGAGACCCGAGAUUGAGCUCUUCGCUGGCAGUUGCAAGCGGGCUUCAGUGAAGGUGUUGGUGGGCCAACAUCAUAUGAAGGUUCAACUUGGGAAAGCUCUAUUGGCCCCCCUAUUUUCCUUGGUUUGUGGUCCCCUCCGUCCGUGUUCAAAGCUCAUCGUUUCAGUCUCUGAUUCUGUCAUCAUGUUGCCUUCUCCUCCAACUCUGACUCCCCCUGCAUCCCUUUCCGGAGGACUGGUGAUUACUUCAGGUCUGCGAAGAUAAUCCAAGAUCAUGGAGAAAAGGAUGGAAGGAUUCACACCAAACUCUUAACAUUGGUUACUUCACACUGGAGUAGAAACAAGGUAGAGUGAAUUUGUUAAUGGUUUCCUUCUAUCCCUCCAUAUAUUUGGACUUGAUUAUCAGAACAAGCUUGCAUUACUUUUUCAAUUAAAAAAUAAACCCUGUAAAUGAAAGGAAGAAUAAAGCUUUUACUACUGUCUCAUGAAAUUAUAAACCAUCUAUUUGGGAACAAGCAUCAUAGAUACAAGGAGGGAUGAAAUGGAAAUUAGCAAGGCUUGGAUGAAUAAUCUUAAACUUGGAGUUAAAGAAUCCUGGCCAUGAUUUGUCUUUACAAUGUGAUUUGAGAAAGUACAGGAACGCCUGGCUGGCUGAGUUGAUCAUGGGACUCUUGAUCUUGGGGUUGUGAGUUUAAGCCCCGCAUUGGGUAUAGAGCUUGCUUAAAAGUAAAAGAAAAUAAAUAAAAAUGGCACCUGGCUGGCUUGGUCAGAAGAGGAUGAGGCUCUUAGUAUAAGGGUCAUGGGUUUGAGGGCCACUUGAGGGUGAAGCCUACUAAAAAUAAAAAGAAAAAAAAAGAAAAAAAAAUAAUUGAAAGAAAAGAAAUCAGUAUUGCUACCUGUCUUUGAAUGUAGUUACUCCUAGAAGGUCUUCUGGAUUCUCAUAUAUGCUUUUGAAUUGAUUACUAUGUGAGGUAAUGUAUUGGGAUGUUCACAUAUUGGCAGAGAUUGGUUUAUUGACUUUAUUUAACCAACAUUUAUUUAGUGAAAUGAUAAUAAAUAUUAAUAUU